UGGGGAAUUUUGGACAAUGGACGCAAGUCUGAUCCAGCCAUUCCGCGUGCAGGACGAAGGCCUUCGGGUUGUAAACUGCUUUUGUACAGAACGAAAAGGUCUCUAUUAAUACUAGGGGCUCAUGACGGUACUGUAAGAAUAAGCACCGGCUAACUACGUGCCAGCAGCCGCGGUAAUACGUAGGGUGCAAGCGUUAAUCGGAAUUACUGGGCGUAAAGCGUGCGCAGGCGGUUAUAUAAGACAGAUGUGAAAUCCCCGGGCUCAACCUGGGAACUGCAUUUGUGACUGUAUAGCUGGAGUGCGGCAGAGGGGGAUGGAAUUCCGCGUGUAGCAGUGAAAUGCGUAGAUAUGCGGAGGAACACCGAUGGCGAAGGCAAUCCCCUGGGCCUGCACUGACGCUCAUGCACGAAAGCGUGGGGAGCAAACAGGAUUAGAUACCCUGGUAGUCCACGCCCUAAACGAUGUCAACUGGUUGUUGGGUCUUCACUGACUCAGUAACGAAGCUAACGCGUGAAGUAGGCCGCCUGGGGAGUACGGCCGCAAGGUUG
rnacentral:rRNA from 1 species